rnacentral:rRNA from 1 species
AUACGAAAGGUGCAAGCGUUGUUCGGAUUUACUGGGCGUAAAGAGAGUGUAGGUUGUUUAUUAAGUCGGAUGUGAAAUCCCGGGGCUCAACCUCGGAACUGCAUUCGAUACUGGUAGACUAGAGUUCGGGAGGGGUAAGCGGAAUUCCGUGUGUAGCAGUGAUAUGCGUAGAUAUACGGAGGAACACCUGAGGCGAAGGCGGCUUACUGGACCGAUACUGACACUGAGACUCGAAAGCGUGGGUAGCAAACAGGAUUAGAAACCCUAGUAGUCC